UUUAGUUUUGUGUAUGAUCAGCAUGAUGCCACUGCAAGUAAGGGUAUGAUCAUAUUUGAAUUGUGUGUUUGCUUUUGUAAAAAUUUUGGUACUACUAGAUUUGUUAUUCUCUAUUGCACAUAACUUUUAAUACCAUUCUAUAGUUGUCACUAUACUGUAAAAGUAUGAUAGCUGAAUUGGUUUCAAAGUAUUAUUUCUUUUAUAACAUAUUCAGCACCUGUUUCCUCUUCCUUUUUUUUUUUGUUUUUUUUUUGCUUUCUCUAAUAACUACUUACUUGCAUUAUUAUUCAUUAUUGACAGGUGAUACCCACAAUGGCAAUCGUUUGAAUACGAGAUAUCCAGCCUUUACAGACUGACCUACAAAUCAAAGGGCGAGUCUGCAAGGUGUGGAGAGUGAAGAAAUACAGACCUGUUCCUAGAAACAAUGGUCUUCAGUUUGUUUUAGUUAAUGAGAAGAACGAGGGAAUCCAAGGAUCUUUUCUAGAAGCAUACUACACCACAAUAAGGACUGGUAUAAUAAUCUGAAGUUUACCUUAUCUAUUCGAAAUGAGAUGUGGGAAAGGAAAGCAAAUCACUUCUACACACAAAAAGACAUUGAUCAGGUCCGGGCCGAGUGGGCAAAGUAUGUCAGCCAAUUUCAACAAAGCUAGUGUGUCGAGAAGAUUCUAAUUUUGGACAUGCAUCAUCUAUAACCCAUAUUAACUAGUUAUGCAGUUGGUCUGAGUAUCUAUUUUUGGCCUGCAAGUACAGUUUAUGAUCAGUAGUAUGAGAUAUCAAUGUUUUUUGGGUUACAUUUGUUGAUCAUGCCAACUGCUAUGGGUUAUUGAAGUGAUGUUUAUUAAGUUUAGCUCCAUGAUGGAUGUAUGUAUAGCUGCAGGAACAGAUUGAUCAAAUAUUAGUAUUUUUGUGAAUGGAUUUCAUAUUUGAUGAAUGCAUUGUGUUGUUCCCAGAUUUA